rnacentral:lncRNA from 1 species
UUUUUUUAUUUCACUUUUUAGGGCUGCACCCACAGCAUAUGGAAGUUCUCAGGCUAGGGGUUGAAUUGGAGCUACAGCUGCCGGCCUACACCACAGCCACAGCAGUGUGGGAUCUGAGCUGCGUCUGCAACCUACACCACAGCUCAUAGCAAUGCUGGAUAUGUUAACCCACUUAGUGAGGCGAGGGAUCGAACCCACAUCCUCAUGGAUAUUAGUCAGAUUCAUUUCCGCUGGGCCGAGAUGGGAACUCCUAUUUUCUAAUUUUUUUUUUUUUUUUUUUUUUUUUUUUUUGUCUUUUGUCUUUUUGUUUUGUUGUUGCUAUUUCUUGGGCCGCUCCCGCGGCAUAUGGAGGUUCCUGAAAGGUUGUUAUGGAUUCUUAGAGAACAGAGUGAUGGUGACACUUGCUGGUGUGGUGUGGGGAGACUUUCUGUGCUUGCCUUGGAAAUCUUCUCAAGGCCCAGCUUUUCUCUUCACACAGGCAACAAAAGUAAAGAAGAGGAAGGACUCACGGGACACAGGGAAUGGGAUGCUGACUGUCAGGGCUUCCAAGUUGCCCCACUCACGAUCCAUCCAUAAAACACUUGGCUAUGCAAGAAAGAAAUGAGGGCUCUCAAGGUCUCUCUCUCUACUUUCCCCUUCAUGCACCCCGUUCACAACAACCGCAAAGGUUGUAGAGAACGGGACAGCAGCUGUGCAACAUGAAAGCCAGAGAGUGGGUGCGGUUCCCAGCCAUUCUGUGAGCAAGGGAGUUUAUUGUCUCUUGCUCUUUAAGCAUAAGCUACCUUGUCCAAUCAAUUUAAAAAAAAAAAAAUUAGGAGUUCCCGUCGUGGUGCAGUGGUUAACGAAUCCAACUAGGAACCAUGAGGUUGCAGGUUCAAUCCCUGGCCUUGCUCAGUGGGUUAAGGAUCCGGCGUUGCCGUGAGCUGUGGUGUAGGUUGCAGAUGUGGCUCGGAUCCCGCAUUGCUGUGGCUCUGUUGCAGGCCGGCGGCUACAGCUCUGAUUAGACCCCUGGCCUGGGAACUUCCAUAUGCCAUAGGAGCGGCCCUAGAAAAGACCCCAAAAAAAAAAAAAAGAAAUUAGAACAAUUUUCUAACUAUAAAACAAUACAUACUUGUAGAAAGUUUCGAAAAUAAAGGUUGGUAAAGAAGAAAUAAGAACUAUCCAGAGUCCACCACUGCCAACAUCCUGAGUGUAUUUCCUUUCCGUGUUUUCUCAGCCACAAACUGUGGGUGGUGUAUGCAUAGUUUGGGGUAUUUUUUCACUUAAUGUUGUGACAUGAAAAAUGUUCCCAUCGUGCUAAAAUUCUCAGGAAAGAAGGAUCUCAUUUUAUUUUUCCUUUUUCUUUUUCUUUUUUGCUUUUUAGGGCUGCACCAUUGGCAUAGGGAAGUUCCCAGCAUAGGGGUUAAUCGGAGCGACAGCUGUUGGCCUACACCACAGCCACAGCCACGCCAGAUCCCUGACCCACUGAGGGAGGCCAGGGAUGGAACCCACAUCCUCAUGGAUAUUAGUCGGAUUCGUUUCCACCGCGUCACAUCAGGAACGUCCUCAUUUUUCCUCUUUCAGCCGCAGCCGUGGAACAUGGAAGUUCCAGGGCCAGGGAUCGAAUCCGAACUAGUCUUUAACCCACGCCACAGCUGCAGCAAUGCUGGACCCUUAACCCACUGAGCUGGGUUGGGGUCUGAACAGGUAAUGCCACAGAGACAGGAUGGAUCGUUAGCCCACGACACCACAGUGAGAACUCCAAGAAGGGUUUUAAUGGCUGAUAAGGCCCAUCAUACAGAUAAAACACAAAUUAUUUAACCAAUUCCCCAUUGUUCAAAAUCGAGGCUGUUUUUGUUUUUUCCGUUAAAAAUAACACUGCUAUUAAUAUCCUCGUACACACAUGUCCAUGUCUGUGAUUGUUUCCUUAAUAUAAAUGACUAGAAAUAGAACUCCUGGGUCAAAAGAGAGAAAUGUUUCCGAA